GUGAGGAAUUUUCCGCAAUGGGCGAAAGCCUGACGGAGCAAUGCCGCGUGAAGGAUGAAGGCCUAUGGGUUGUAAACUUCUUUUCUCAGAAAAGAAUUAUGACGGUAACUGAGGAAUAAGCAUCGGCUAACUCUGUGCCAGCAGCCGCGGUAAGACAGAGGAUGCAAGCGUUAUCCGGAAUGAUUGGGCGUAAAGCGUCUGUAGGUUGUUUAAAAAGUAUUCUGUCAAAGAUUAGGGCUUAACUCUCGAGAGGCAGAAUAAACUUUUAAGCUAGAGUUUGGUAGAGGCAGAGGGAAUUCCCGGUGGAGCGGUGAAAUGCGUAGAUAUCGGGAGGAACACCAACGGCGAAGGCACUCUGCUGGGCCAAUACUAACACUGAGAGACGAAAGCGAGGGGAGCAAAUGGGAUUAGAAACCCUUGUAGUCC
rnacentral:rRNA from 1 species